rnacentral:lncRNA from 1 species
GUCGAACAAUCACAGAAGCUUUUCUGCAGGAAGACAUUCAAGAAAAACGCGUGCCCCUCCCAUCUGGAGGAGAUAUGUACAGACAUUUUAAAGAAGUGCGAGGGCCUGCCCCUAGCAAUCGUGGCCAUAAGUGGCGUCCUGGCUACAAAAGACAAGCGGAGAAUAGAUGAAUGGGAUUUGGUCCGCCGUUCUCUUCAGUCAGAAAUUGAUGGCAAUGACAAACUCAAAAACAUGAAGAAGGUACUUUCACUCAGCUUUAAUGACUUACCUUACUACCUAAAGUCCUGUUUAUUACAGAUAUCUGUAUUCCCUGAGGCUUAUGCGAUUGAGCGCAUGAGGCUAACUAGACACUGGGUAGCAGAAGGUUUUGUUGAAAUGAAAGAUGCUAAGACCAUGGAAGAAGUUGCAGAUGACUACCUCAAUGAGCUUGUAAAUAGGAGUCUCAUCCAUGUGGUGGAGAGAGACAGCGAUGGGAGGAUAAAGUCAUGCCGAAUCCAUGGCCUUUUGCGGAGGAUCAUCACUUCAAAGUCAAGAGAUCAGAACUUUGCAGCCAUAGUUGACGAACAAAGUUCAGUGUGGCCUGAUAGAAUUCGUCGCUGCUCAGUUCACAAUGAGCUUCAAAUUGGACAACAGAACUUGUCACUUUCCCAUCUCAGGUCCUUGUACAUAUUUGGGGUAGACAAAUUUUCUCUAUAUAGAAUUCUCGCUGGUGAUCUGAAACUUCUUAGUGUUUUGGACUUGCAAAAUGCUCCAUUAAGGAGGUUCCCGGUGCAAAUAGUAGACAUGCGUUCUGUAAAGUUUUUGAGUUUGAGGCAUACUCAAAUUCAGACACUUCCAACAUCCAUGGGAAGGCUUCAGAACUUAGAGACUCUAGACCUCAAACACACUCAUGUCAUUUCAUUGCCUAUAGAGAUCAUGAAGCUCCAACGCCUUUGCCAUCUUCUUGUAUAUCGUUAUCAAACUGUAUCCUAUACGCACUACAAAUAUGGCUUCAGCACCCCAGCACAAAUUGGAGCUCUUCAAUCUCUGCAAAAGCUUUGCUACAUAGAUGCAGAUGAUGAUAGAACCAACAAUGUUAUAAGUGAGCUCGGGAAGCUAAAUCAGCUGAGAAGACUCUGCAUUCUAAAGUUGAAGAAAGAAGAUGGAAGGAAAUUGUGCUGGUCAAUUGCGAAGUUGACAAACCUCCAGUCCCUGGCUGUUUAUUCAUUAGGAGAUGAUGAAGAAAUUGAUCUGCAGAACCUUUCUUCUCCACCGCCACUACUUCAAAGGAUCUACCUGAGAGGACGUAUGCGGGCUUUGCCACAUUGGAUAGCAAGCAUGCAUGGUCUUGCCAAGUUACAUUUAAGUUGGUGUUUGCUUAAGGAAGAUCCCCUGCCAUCCCUCCAGGAUUUGCCCAAUCUUGUACAUCUUGAGUUACUUCAAGUUCACGAUUGGCAAACACUAUGCUUUAAGGCUAAAGGGUUUCAAAAGCUCAAGAUAUUAGGUCUUGAUUAUUAUGAGGAGCUCACAUUUGUACAGAUAGAGGAGGAAGCAAUGUCUAACCUUGAGAAAUUGAUGAUCCAGCGAUGCAAACAGCUGAAGAGUAUGCCAUCGGGAAUCGAGCACCUCACCAAGCUCAAAGUGCUGGAGUUCUUUGACAUGCCUGAAGAGUUAACCGAGAAGCUUAAGCUAGAAGAGAAGGAUGGAGAUUAUCAGAAAGUGGCACGUGCUGCAGAACUUCGUUAUGGCUACUGGAGAGAUGGGGCUUGGGACGUUACUUCAGUAGAGAGAUCAGGAAAGGAACAGAGCUCUCGACCUCAGGACACUACGAUGAAGAGAAGUAACCUUCCUCCUUGUUGGAAAUAAUGAUAUGCUCCAUCUUGUGUAACUGCAGUUUUUCUUGAGUUGCCCCAAUUUACUGUAACUAAUAAGGCUGAUAAUGUUCGAAGCAAACAUCAAAGGUUUAUUUGUCUCCAAGAUAACUUGGUAGGCCAUUUUGUAGCCUAGAAUUGCAUCUGAUAUUUUGUCUACACUACACCACAUGCACGUCGCUAGGGUGAACAUAUAUAUAUAUGUAUGUAGGCUUGGCAGUUGAUCUAUGCUUCAUGACAAUAUCUUCAAAAUUUAUUGAACAGAUCUUUCUAAGAUGACAUGUCAGAUGACACCACAUUCACAACACAUUAAAAAACAAUUUUUCGUGUAACAAUAGGUUAGUACUCAUAUAAAAAACAAAAGGCGGUAUGAAUAUGUUGCAUUAAUGCGAAUAAUACAUAUAAUUAGGAGUGCUUAGAUGCAUCUAAUCAAAUUAGGAGGGUUAGACCAUACAUUUACACCUUCAUUCCCCCAAUAAAACUAGAUCAAGCACGCUAUACUCAAUUACAUAUUGCGAGUGAGCCAUGCAAACCAGUGGCAUCAUAACGUGUAUUAUACCUUCAUCCUCAAAUUCAGUGACUCAAUCACAAAAUUGUCCCAAAUCGCCCGAGUACAUUUGAAUUCUCCAAAACAAGCGCGUUUCCUUCAUCGGGAGAGCAAACCUCGGAAAGCAGAACACAUUUAUCGAUGCCGCAUUUUCUAAGGAAAGCAAGGAGAUAUGGUCGACAACUCCAUCAUUAAGCUCAUUGAAGCAAUGCUGAUGAGAAGCAAUGCUGAUAAGAGGACGAAACAUGGCUAAAACACCACAUUUUAGUCCGACUUACAACAUAGCACCAGUGUGCUUUCCAGUGCCUUAACCCGCGGAAUCGGAGAAGAAUUCGUGAACUGAAACGGACGACAGAACCUUUAAUUAUGUGCAAAGACACAGCGAGAGAGAAUCAAAAUCGUUCUUUCAGCUUAAGACCACGUAAACAUGCUAAGAAAUCAGCAAAAUACCGAACGAUCUAUUACUCGACCCAGAGGAUCGACCUGUUGGACCUUGAAAAAAGUGGAAGGUGAAAAAUUUGAGAAGGCUAGAGGAUUUGAAGCGAGGGUUCGUCGAUCACGAACCUACCGAAAGGCCGAUCUUGGGGUUGCCCUCGGAGUAUACGGACAAGCAUUACGAAGUCGAUUCGGAUUGGUUACUGGCAUUAUCGCCAUGCGAGGGAGGAGGAUCCAAUGAAGAUGAACAAAGUUGCAGAUUUAUGUAAACGUCCUAGUAAAGGGAAAAAGAAGCAAAAACAAGGAAAUCCACCGAGCCCAUGAACUCCACCUAAGCAAAGGAUUUUGCAAAUUGAAGCUCCUGGUGAUGGAUGAUGGGCUAUGUUUAGGGCACAGAUCAGCCCCCGUUGGAUAUAUGGGCUCUUGUUGAUGAAGGUAGACACCGGCUGGCCCAAUUGCGAAAUCUUCGAGUAGCCCAUCUCAAUUGCUAGCCCAAUUAAGCUGCUGAUUGGGUUGUUAAGGCCCAUAGGCUUAAAAGACUUUCCCUCGUAAUUGGUUGUGCAAAAAGUUUUUACUCGGCUCGGUUAUUUUCGAGUUCGAGUAGCUCGGGUACUUAAUUGGGCGAAUUCAAUCUUGAAUUUACUUGCUUCGAGCAAUUUGCUAGCCUAAUCGAGUAAUUACCUAUUCAUUUAUAAAUAGCUUUUGAAACUAUUAGUUCUUCAAUUAUAGCGUGCUUUUGGAACUCGAGUUUGAGCAUGAGCUUGCGCUUAGUACAAUUCAAAUUUCAACCAGCACUUAUUGAAUAACAUAGUCGAGUCAAGUUAGAGCUCAUGGAGAAUUUAUUCAAUAGUUAAGCUUGAGUCAAGGAUUAAGCAUUAAAUAUUCAAGUCAAGUAGAGCUGGGAGUGUUGAAUUGCGCAACUUGAUUACAUCCCUAGCAGACGCUCGACCUUUUAGUAACUUGUAUGGUUAACUGCUCGCAGAAACAAAUUGAACAGACCAAUGUUGUAAUGUUCUAGUCAUAUAUCAUGAGGUGCAAGUCAUACUUUAUCCAAUAUAUUGUUAGAUGACAAAUUUGUGAACCUGUCCAGAUAAAGCUCUCCGGGGAUAAAAUCUUGACAGAGGAUAGUAAAUUAUCAAAUUAACAUGGACUUCAUGUCAAGCUAAUGAUCUUAUUGGGUACAGGCACCCCAAAUCAAGGAACCGACAUCAUUUUAUUAACAGUAGAUUAUUAGUGCUUGGUGCUCCAGUAAGUUUUAAAUAUAUAGAUCAGACACGCACACACCGUCCAUAUGAACAACGAAUCACCUCCACAUAAUGGAUUGUGACAAUUGAAUACACAGAUAGAGACAGAGACAGAGACAGAGACAGAGAGGUCAGUUUUGAUGAUAGUCUCUUCUUUAUAGUUUUGGUGAUUAUCGUAUCUAAGCUGAUUUGUCAUCUAGUACAUGUCACUGCUUACGUUAAUUUGCAUGUUGACCCAAGUGCUAAUCUAGCUUCUUUCACAAACCUUUCUGCAUCAUCCCGCCGUAAGGCACAGUGAAUUGCCUGACCAAACAAUGCGAUUUUGUCACCUAAUUUUUCUUCGCUCAAGAACUUGGAUUAAAGCACUCUAACAAGAGGUUAACCCUAGCUAAGUCUAAUUGAGAAAGUGAACAGUAUUUGAUAAACACAGGUUAACCCCAGUUAAGUCUAACUGAGAAAGUAAAUUGUAGUUGACUAUGCAUCAAGACGACACAAAUAGGUCCUUGUCCUCGAACAAGAAUGCAUUGCUUGAAGACGUCAACCUACCAUCAGCUCCUUUAGCAAUAUGUCUGGUAGGACAUGGAUUGAUGACUACAGUUCUCUUCCGUCAAGAGAUUGCUUCAUAAUAAUUUACGAAGUUGGGUAUAUAAAUGGAUUCUGAAGGGGAAGAGCCAUGGCAAUCUUCCAUGACACAGACAGAGGUCCUGCGAUUUCCCCCAAGAACGCACAUGAACCGAGAGCUAAAGCUAAUAAUAUAAUGGAUUCACCAAAUAGCCAUGCUUCAAGAAAAGCAAAAACGUAAAAUCAUUUUAGUGUGUCCCUGGAUCAAAGUGACUACUAGGUGAACAUCAAACUUCUUAGCAAACAAAUCACGUCGACUUUUUCCCUGUAAAAAAUAAUUUUGUACUCUUCCCAUUUCUACAUUGGUAACAAUCAGGCAUGGAAUGGUCGGUCAUUAACACAAACCUCAAGUUUUGGCAUUUUGAUGUCUUUGCUUUCGAUCAGUUCGUGGAUACACUUUAUCCAGGACCAUUGUACCUGUAAGCAAACUAAUGAAAUGCAGUACAAAUCAGCAUACCGUCUGUACCUAAUUAUUUGAGUAAGAGAUAAGGCAAAAAUUUAAAAUAAGGUUAUAAGUAGUUAGCAUGUCAACAUGAUGUGAAAGAUAUGGCAAAUGAGCAUAGGAUAGAACACCAGUUCAAUUGGUUUGGAUUUAAAACCCACCCUGACUUUUUACAGAAUAAACUGAACUAUAAGAUUAACCGUCAGUCAUUCACCUCAAGCUAAACCUAAAAGAAAAAAACUGGAACCGAUAUUCUCAGGCACUAUGAAACCUAGCAACUCCUGAAAUUUUAGAAAGCAGCCGAGUAUUGAAAUUUCAGAAAGCAGCCGAGUAUUGAGAAUGGCUGAAAGUCCAGUGAUCUAUCUGCUCAGCAAGCUUGCCAGCUUUUUUGAGAAUGAGAUCCAAGAUAUGAGAGAGAGCCGUGAAGAAAUGAUUACGCUGAGAGGUGAAUUCGAGCGCAUCAAGGCCUUCCUGAGAGUUGCAGAUUCCCUGGAAGAGGGCGAUGGGGAAGUCAAAAUAUGGAUUAAGCAAAUAAGAGAAGUCACAUACGAUGCUGAGGAUGCUCUUGAUGAAUUCAAACUGCUCCUGGCGCACAAUCAUGAGGGGUGCGGUCUUCUUUACAAGAUCCCUUGCUGUGUCAGGAACAUGAAAGCUCGAUAUCAGUUGACUGCUGCAGUCAAAAGCAUCAGCUCCAAAAUGAAAGCCAUCUGUGAAGGCCAUCAGAGACUGUACGAAAAACUAAACAGAGCCCAGCAAGGUUCAAGCUCUGCCUGUGAAGACAGCAUGUGGCAAGAUCACCGAGCAGACGCAGUCUUAGUAGAGAAAACUGGUCUGGUGGGCAUUGAAGAGCCCAAAGAGAAGCUUACUCAGUGGCUCGUUGGUGGCGAUUCGGAGCAGGAGGUCAUUUCGGUGGUUGGAAUGGGAGGGUUGGGGAAGACGACUCUGGCAAAGCAAGUUUUUGAUGAUCCUGUGGUGAAGAAGCACUUUCCUGUAUGCGCUUGGGUCACACUUUCUCCGUCUUCGAAGACUGAAGAGCUCCUGAUGGACAUGCUUCAACAAAUUGUCAGUAGCCUCAUGGAGCCGGUUCCAAGUGGAACAGACACCAUGAACAUUAAUUGGCUGAAAAGGACGAUCAAGAGCUUGCUACAGGGAAGAAAGUCAAGGUACCUGAUUGUUCUUGAUGAUGUCUGGCACAUGGACAGAUGGGAUGCUGUUAAGUAUGCAUUGCCUAACAAUAACCUCGGAAGCCGGAUAAUGAUCACAACCCGGAACAGUGACCUGGCCUUGGCAUCCUGCACUGAAUUGAAUGGGAAGGUCUAUGAAAUGCAGCCAUUGCCGGUUGAACAAUCAUGGGAGCUUUUCUGCAGGAAGAUUUUCAAGAAAAGCUCAUGCCCCUCCCAACUGGAGGAGAUCUGUACGGACAUUUUAAAGAAGUGCGAGGGCCUGCCUCUAGCAAUUGUGGCCAUAAGUCGCGUCCUGGCUACAAAAGACCGGCGGAGAAUAAAUGAAUGGGAUUUGGUCCGCCGUUGUCUUCGUUCAGAAAUUGAUGGCAAUGACAAACUCAAAAACAUGAAGAAGGUACUUUCACUCAGCUUUAAUGACUUGCCUUACUACCUAAAGUCCUGUUUAUUACAGAUAUCUGUAUUCCCGGAGGGUCAUGUAAUUGAGCGCAUGAGGCUAAUUAGACACUGGGUAACAGAAGGUUUUGUUGAAAUGAAAGAUGCUAAGACCAUGGAAGAAGUUGCAGAUGAUUACCUCAAUGAGCUUGUAAAUAGGAGUCUUAUCCAAGUGGUGGAGAUAGACAGCGAAAGGGAGGAUAAAGUCAUGCCGAAUCCAUGGCCUUUUGCUGAAGAUCAUCAAUUUAAAGUCGAGAGAUCAGAACUUUGCAACUAUACUGGACAAACAAAGUUCAAUGUGGCCAGAUAGAAUUCGUCGCUGCUCAGUUCACAAUG